rnacentral:rRNA from 1 species
AAUAAUUAUUCUGAUUUGACCAGCAGUCGAGCGGAGAGAGGUAGCUUGCUACCGAUCUUAGCGGCGGACGGGUGAGUAAUGCUUAGGAAUCUGCCUAUUAGUGGGGGACAACAUUUCGAAAGGAAUGCUAAUACCGCAUACGUCCUACGGGAGAAAGCAGGGGAUCUUCGGACCUUGCGCUAAUAGAUGAGCCUAAGUCGGAUUAGCUAGUUGGUGGGGUAAAGGCCUACCAAGGCGACGAUCUGUAGCGGGUCUGAGAGGAUGAUCCGCCACACUGGGACUGAGACACGGCCCAGACUCCUACGGGAGGCAGCAGUGGGGAAUAUUGGACAAUGGGCGCAAGCCUGAUCCAGCCAUGCCGCGUGUGUGAAGAAGGCCUUAUGGUUGUAAAGCACUUUAAGCGAGGAGGAGGCUACUUUAGUUAAUACCUAGAGAUAGUGGACGUUACUCGCAGAAUAAGCACCGGCUAACUCUGUGCCAGCAGCCGCGGUAAUACAGAGGGUGCAAGCGUUAAUCGGAUUUACUGGGCGUAAAGCGCGCGUAGGCGGCUAAUUAAGUCAAAUGUGAAAUCCCCGAGCUUAACUUGGGAAUUGCAUUCGAUACUGGUUAGCUAGAGUGUGGGAGAGGAUGGUAGAAUUCCAGGUGUAGCGGUGAAAUGCGUAGAGAUCUGGAGGAAUACCGAUGGCGAAGGCAGCCAUCUGGCCUAACACUGACGCUGAGGUGCGAAAGCAUGGGGAGCAAACAGGAUUAGAUACCCUGGUAGUCCAUGCCGUAAACGAUGUCUACUAGCCGUUGGGGCCUUUGAGGCUUUAGUGGCGCAGCUAACGCGAUAAGUAGACCGCCUGGGGAGUACGGUCACAAGACUAAAACUCAAAUGAAUUUGACGGGGGCCCGCACAAGCGGUGGAGCAUGUGGUUUAAUUCGAUGCACGCGAAGAACCCUUACCUGGUCUUGACAUAGUAAGAACUUUCCAGAGAUGGAUUGGUGCCUUCGGGAACUUACAUACAGGUGCUGCAUGACUUGUCGUCAA